rnacentral:lncRNA from 1 species
AUGGGCAGCUUAGGUGAAACUCAAUCCACGAUGGGAAGGUGGGUCAAGCACUUGACCUCAGCCAGGCCAUCUGAGGCUGAAAACCGAUGGAGUUCAUUCAUUCCCCUGGUGUUGUCAGAAGAGCUCAACAACGUUCUUGCUACUGAGUGCCUCUGGAACUGCCCUGGUUCCUCCCCUUUCCAAGCCUGGUUGUCCACCUAAAACAGCCAGAUUUUUUUAUGAG